rnacentral:rRNA from 1 species
GGUGCUAUACAUGCAGUCGAGCGGAGUUUUGAAAAGCUUGCUUUUCAAAACUUAGCGGCGGACGGGUGAGUAACACGUGGGCAACCUGCCCUUGAGACGGGGAUAACUCCGGGAAACCGGAGCUAAUACCGGAUAACACAUAUCUUCGCAUGAGGAUAUGUUAGAAGGUGGCUUUUAGCUACCACUCAAGGAUGGGCCCGCGGCGCAUUAGCUAGUUGGUGAGGUAACGGCUCACCAAGGCGACGAUGCGUAGCCGACCUGAGAGGGUGAUCGGCCACACUGGGACUGAGACACGGCCCAGACUCCUACGGGAGGCAGCAGUAGGGAAUCUUCCGCAAUGGACGAAAGUCUGACGGAGCAACGCCGCGUGAGUGAUGAAGGUUUUCGGAUCGUAAAGCUCUGUUGUUAGGGAAGAACAAGUAUCUGUUGAAUAAGCAGGUACCUUGACGGUACCUAACCAGAAAGCCACGGCUAACUACGUGCCAGCAGCCGCGGUAAUACGUAGGUGGCAAGCGUUGUCCGGAAUUAUUGGGCGUAAAGCGCGCGCAGGCGGUUCCUUAAGUCUGAUGUGAAAGCCCACGGCUCAACCGUGGAGGGUCAUUGGAAACUGGGGAACUUGAGUGCAGAAGAGGAGAGCGGAAUUCCACGUGUAGCGGUGAAAUGCGUAGAGAUGUGGAGGAACACCAGUGGCGAAGGCGGCUCUCUGGUCUGUAACUGACGCUGAGGCGCGAAAGCGUGGGGAGCGAACAGGAUUAGAUACCCUGGUAGUCCACGCCGUAAACGAUGAGUGCUAAGUGUUAGAGGGUUUCCGCCCUUUAGUGCUGCAGCAAACGCAUUAAGCACUCCGCCUGGGGGAGUACGGUCGCAAGACUGAAACUCAAAUGUA